UAAUCUCUUUUCUCAGCAGGGUUUUUUUUCUUAUAUUUCAUUUUUAUAGAAAAAACCACCAAACAAGCCAAUCAAAGGAAAUUCAUGCAUCUAUUUCAACUGGGGAGAAUGGGGAGACUAUGGAAAAUGUUCAAAAUCUUGCGGAAAUGAGUAUGAGGGCAAACGGGAAAGGAAACGAAAAUGUUUGAACGCUUGUACUAAUGAAGAAUCUGAUGCUAAAAAGUGUCCCGGAAAAGACUCCCAGGAUGCUAAUUGCACUCCUUGCCCAGCAGAUAAGUAUGGUUUCUGGGACCAGUGGAGUAAUUGGAAGCUUGAAGGAGAACCUGCUUGCAGCAAAGGUAAAACUGACCGAAAGAUUGUCAAAUACCGAACAAGAGAGUGUAUUGCUGAAGGAGACGUGAAGAUGUGUCCCCCCACCAAGGAUGGUUUAAAGGAGGGAACGGAUAGAGAAGAGAAGUUUAUGUAUAUCCCUGACUGCCAGAAGGAUCAGGAGUAUACACAGUACUUAUCCGGAUAUGAAGAAUAUUUAGAAUAGAAACAAGAAAUCUACGGAAAAUUGGAGAUUUAAAAAAUUUUAUGAAAAUAAUAUUGAAAUAAAAAUUUCUAGACUUAG